GACGAACGCUGGCGGCGUGCCUAAUACAUGCAAGUCGAACGCAGUGGGGACGGGUGAGUAACACGUGGGUAACCUCCCAUCAGAGGGGAUAACACUUGGAAACAGGUGCUAAACCGAUACUGAUGGAUGAACCCGCGGUGCAUUAGCUAGUUGGGGAGGUAACGGCUCACCAAGGCCACGAUGCAUAGCGGACUGGGGGGGGGGUUGGGCAAAACGGGGAUUGAGACACGCCCCAGAUUCCUAGGGGAGGCAGCGGUAGGGAUUCUUCGGCAAGGGACGAAAGUCGGACCGAGCAACGCCGGGUGAGUGAAGAAGGUUUUCGGAUCGUAAAACUCUGUUGUUAGAGAAGCGGUAUCUAACCAGAAAGCCACGGCUAACUACGUGCCAGCAGCCGCGGUAAUU
rnacentral:rRNA from 1 species